rnacentral:lncRNA from 1 species
AUUGGAUAAAGAAUCAAGAGGGAAAUCCUCCAAGAGAAGGAAACAAUCCCUCGAGAGAGGGAGAAAAUCCCCCGAGAGAGAGAAAAUGCCCUGAGUAACCCAAGUGACGUUUAGUGCUUGAAACACUUCUUGAGCCAAAAAUUGAUGGAAGCUAGCGAUGAAAUUUGAAGAAACAUUAAGAUGGGUAAAGGAAGUUGUAAGAAAAUAAAGACUUGUGUAGAAAUACAAUUGAGAGGAAAUGCAAGGAACCAAAGCCUUAGUGCAAUGGUUUCCAAG